AUUGAACGCUGGCGGCAGGCCUAACACAUGCAAGUCGAACGAGUGGCGGACGGGUGAGUAAUGUCUGGGAAACUGCCCGAUGGAGGGGGAUAACUACUGGAAACGGUAGCUAAUACCGCAUACCAUCGGAUGUGCCCAGCUGGGAUCCGCUAGUAGGUGGGGUAACUGCUCACCUAGGCGACGAUCCCUAGCUGGUCUGAGAGGAUGACCAGCCACACUGGAACGGAGAGACGGUCCCGACUCCGACGUGAGGCAGCAGUGGGGAAUAUUGCACAAUGGGCGCAAGCCUGAUGCAGCCAUGCCGCGUGUAUGAAGAAGGCCUUCGGGUUGUAAAGUACUUGCAGCGAGGAGGCGUUACUCGCAGAAGAAGCACCGGCUAACUCCGUGCCAGCAGCCGCGGUAAUUC
rnacentral:rRNA from 1 species